rnacentral:rRNA from 1 species
GUGGGGAAUCUUGCACAAUGGAGGCAACUCUGAUGCAGCGACGCCGCGUGAGCGAUGAAGCCCUUCGGGGUGUAAAGCUCUUUCGGCAGGGACGAUAAUGACGGUACCUGAAGAAGAAGCUGCGGCUAACUACGUGCCAGCAGCCGCGGUAAUACGUAGGCAGCGAGCGUUGUUCGGAAUUACUGGGCGUAAAGAGUGUGUAGGCGGUGCUCUAAGUUCGGUGUGAAAUCUCCCGGCUCAACUGGGAGGGUGCGCCGGAAACUGGAGUGCUUGAGCGUGGGAGAGGAAAGCGGAAUUCCUGGUGUAGCGGUGAAAUGCGUAGAUAUCAGGAGGAACACCUGCGGUGUAGACGGCUUUCUGGACCACAAGCUGACGCUGAGACACGAAAGCGUGGGUAGCAAACAGGAUUAGAUACCCCUGUAGUCC